rnacentral:rRNA from 1 species
CAGUCGCCACGGUAAUACCAGCAGCCCAAGUGGUGGUCGCGAUUAUUGGGCCUAAAGCGCUCGUAGCCGGGCCGGUAAGUCCCUUGUGAAAUCGGACGGCCUAACCGUUCGGCGUGCAAGGGAUACUGUCGGUCUUGAGGCCGGGAGACGUCCGAGGUACUCCGGGGGUAGCGGUGAAAUGUUCUAAUCCUCGGGGGACCACCGGUGGCGAAGGCGUUCGACGAGAACGGGCCUGACGGUGAGGGGCGAAGGCUAGGGGAGCAAACGGGAUUAGAUACCCCCGUAGUCCCUGUCUCUUAUA